AGUCGAACGGAAAGGCCCUUCGGGGUAACUCGAGUGGCGAACGGGUGAGUAACACGUGGGUGAUCUGCCCUGCACUUUGGGAUAAGCCUGGGAAACUGGGUCUAAUACCGAAUAUGACCGCGCUCUUCAUGGGGUGUGGUGGAAAGCUUUUGCGGUGUGGGAUGGGCCCGCG
rnacentral:rRNA from 1 species